AAAAGGAUAUGAUCUCUUUUAUUUAUUUAAACUUUAUUAGAAGAAAAUGCAUUUACUUGUGUUGCAUGGACACUCACAUUCAGCUUGACGAUUUUGUCGGAUAUGUAUUGGAAUCAAGAACACCUCAUAACUAAUAAACUUAUCAAAUUCACUGAUUUCAGCUUUAAUGAUGGUUAGAGCAGGGGGUUUUCCAACAAUGAAUUUGACCCACCAUAAUGAUGCUAGAGGUAAACUUUUGUUCUUUAAGAGAUCGACCACGAAUGAAGAAAUGAAAAUAACUUUGUGAAAUGUUAGUUUUUCUCAUACCCUUGACUGCAGGAAAUUUUGGAUAAGAAAUAUAUAUACUAAUGAUCUUAAAAAAUAAUAUCUUCUAAAGCUUUCUUUUAUAUGAUAUCUUAAAAAUAAACAUAUAAUUUAUUUACUUUCCUACAUGUACCUGUAUCUUCUUUUCUUUUUCUUCUGGCUAAGUCAAAUGCCUAUCUAUGUGCCAGAAUCCGAUUUUCAUGUCAGUAUCCUUAGAAUGCUGCUUUGUUUUUAUUUUUUCCAAAAACCAGUUUGCUUAUUUUCCUAGUCCAUAUGAUAAAUUUACAUUAUUAUUCAGUGCAGAUUUCAACAUAACCCUUUACUUUCCAAUCCCAUGACUGUCAAGGGGUCAGGGUACACUCUUCUACAAAUUUUCUCCUCAGUAUUUGUUUCAGUGUCUAAAUGCACUCACUUUUUUGAUAUCUUUUUUCUCUCUCUUAAAGCCUGCCUAAAAUUGAUAUUCACGUGGCCUGCAUUUGAUCAACAAUAACAAUAAACCCUCAUUUAGUAAUGACCAACAAUAGAGAAAUCUAAUAGGUUUGGGUACAUAAUUUCCACCAUGGACAAACUAAUCAAAACAUUAUAUGCAUUUGCAUGUUUCAAGCGUUAGUAAUAUAACAAUUAGAAUUCAAAGCCUGUAAAGGCCAUUUCAGGAGGUUUUGUA
rnacentral:lncRNA from 1 species